rnacentral:rRNA from 1 species
AUUGAGUUUGAUCCUGGCUCAGAUGAACGCUGGCGGGAGGCCUAACACAUGCAAGCCGAGCGGUAUAGAUUCUUCGGAAUCUUGACAGCGGCGUAAGGGUGCGGAACACGUGUGCAACCUACCUUUAUCUGGAGGAUAGCCUUUCGAAAGGAAGAUUAAUACUCCAUGAUAUAUUUGAUGGCAUCAUUAAAUAUUGAAAGCUCCGGCGGAUAGAGAUGGGCACGCGCAGUAUUAGCUAAUUGGUGAGGUAACGGCUCACCAGUGCGAUGAUCUUUACGGGGCCUGUGAGGGUGAUCCCCCACACUGGUACUGAGACACGGACCAAACUCCUACGGGAGGCAGCGGUGAGGAAUAUUGAUCAAUGGGUGCAAGCCUGAACCAGCCAUCCCGCGUGAAGGACGACUGCCCUAUGGGUUGUAAACUUCUUUUGUAUAGGGAUAAACCUACUCUCGUGAUACUAGCUGAAGGUACUAUACGAAUAAACACCGGCUAACUCCGUGCCAUCAACCGCGGUAAUACCGAUGGUGCAAGCGUUAUCCGGAUUUAUUGGGUUUAAAGGGUCCGUACGCGGACUUAUAAGUCAGUGGUGAGAGCCUGUCGCUUAUCGAAAGAACUGCCAUUGAUACUGUAAGUCUUGAGUAUAAUUGAUGUAGCUGGAAUAACUAGUGUAGCGGUGAAAUGCAUAGAUAUUACAUAGAAACAGAAUUGCGAAGGCAGGUACCAAGUUAUAACUGACGCUGAGGGACGAAAACGUGGGGAGCGAACAUGAUUAGAGAUCCUGGUAUUCCACGCCCUAGACGAUGCUAACUCGUUUUAGGGGCGCAAGCUGCGAGACCAAUCGAAAGUGAUAAGUUAGCAGCAUGUGGAGUACGCUCGCAAGAGUGAAACUCAAAGGAAUUGACGUCGAUGCCGCACAAGCGAUGAUUUAUGUGAUUUGACUUCGAUGAUGCUCGAGGACCAUAACAGACGUACACUGGGAUGGACAGCUUAGUAUACAGCUUUCUCGACACUUUGCAGGUGCUGCUGCUGACGUCAGCUACUGCGUGACGUGUUUAGCUAGUCCAUGCAC